UCCUACGGGGGGCAGCAGUGAGGAAUAUUGGUCAAUGGGCGGAAGCCUGAACCAGCCAAGUCGCGUGAGGGAUUAAGGCCCUGCGGGUCGUAAACCUCUUUUGCCGGGGAGCAGUGGUCCGGACGCGUCCGGACCGGGAGAGUACCCGGAGAAAAAGCAUCGGCUAACUCCGUGCCAGCAGCCGCGGUAAUACGGAGGAUGCGAGCGUUAUCCGGAAUGAUUGGGCGUAAAGGGUGCGUAGGCGGCCUGCUAAGUCUGGAGUGAAAGGUACCGGCUCAACCGGUACAGGCUCUGGAAACUGGCGG
rnacentral:rRNA from 1 species